AUUGAACGCUGGCGGCAGGCCUAACACAUGCAAGUCGAGCGGAUGAAGGGAGCUUGCUCCUGGAUUCAGCGGCGGACGGGUGAGUAAUGCCUAGGAAUCUGCCUGGUAGUGGGGGAUAACGUCCGGAAACGGGCGCUAAUACCGCAUACGUCCUGAGGGAGAAAGUGGGGGAUCUUCGGACCUCACGCUCUCAGAUGAGCCUAGGUCGGAUUAGCUAGUUGGUGGGGUAAAGGCCUACCAAGGCGACGAUCCGUAACUGGUCUGAGAGGAUGAUCAGUCACACUGGAACUGAGACACGGUCCAGACUCCUACGAGAGGCAGCAGUGUGGAAUAUUGGACAAUGGGCGAAAGCCUGAUCCAGCCAUGCCGCGUGUGUGAAGAAGGUCUUCGGAUUGUAAAGCACUUUAAGUUGGGAGGAAGGGCAGUAAGUUAAUACCUUGCUGUUUUGACGUUACCAACAGAAUAAGCACCGGCUAACUUCGUG
rnacentral:rRNA from 1 species